AUUGAACGCUGGCGGCAGGCCUAACACAUGCAAGUCGAACGGUAACAGGAAGAAGCUUGCUUCUUUGCUGACGAGUGGCGGACGGGUGAGUAAUGUCUGGGAAACUGCCUGAUGGAGGGGGAUAACUACUGGAAACGGUAGCUAAUACCGCAUAACGUCGCAAGACCAAAGAGGGGGACCUUCGGGCCUCUUGCCAUCGGAUGUGCCCAGAUGGGAUUAGCUAGUAGGUGGGGUAACGGCUCACCUAGGCGACGAUCCCUAGCUGGUCUGAGAGGAUGACCAGCCACACUGGAACUGAGACACGGUCCAGACUCCUACGGGAGGCAGCAGUGGGGAAUAUUGCACAAUGGGCGCAAGCCUGAUGCAGCCAUGCCGCGUGUAUGAAGAAGGCCUUCGGGUUGUAAAGUACUUUCAGCGGGGAGGAAGGGAGUAAAGUUAAUACCUUUGCUCAUUGACGUUACCCACAGAAGAAGCACCGGCUAACUCCGUG
rnacentral:rRNA from 1 species